AUGAACGCUAGCGACAGGCCUAACACAUGCAAGUCAGGGGCAGCACAAGGAGCAAUCUGAGGUGGCGACCGGCGCACGGGUGAGUAACACGUAUGCAACCUGCCUGUAAGCGGGGAAUAACCCGUUGAAAGACGGACUAAUACCGCAUAAUACUAAAUUACUGCAUGGUAAUUAUUUAAACAUUUAUGGCUUACAGAUGGGCAUGCGCAUGAUUAGCUAGUUGGAGAGGUAACGGCUCCCCAAGGCAACGAUCAUUAGGGGUUCUGAGAGGAAGGUCCCCCACACUGGUACUGAGACACGGACCAGACUCCUACGGGAGGCAGCAGUGAGGAAUAUUGGUCAAUGGACGAGAGUCUGAACCAGCCAAGUCGCGUGCAGGAAGAAUGUCCUAUUGGAUUGUAAACUGCUUUUGCAGGGGAAUAAAGUGCAUCACGUGUGAUGUUUUGUAUGUACUCUGCGAAUAAGGAUCGGCUAACUCCGUGCCAGCAGCUGC
rnacentral:rRNA from 1 species